CUUUCCCCGGAGUGAGAAGAUGGCUUUCCCCGGGGUCAGAAGAUUGUUCAAGAUACUCUGAACGAAGUCCCUCCUCUGAAAAGGCAUUGGCUAACAAGCUGCCGGGGAGACUGAAGUUUCUAUAUUCUCUUCCAGAUCAAACUCACCCACUGAA